CAGUGAGAAUGACGUGUGCUGGUGCAGAGAGGGCGUGGGGGGCUGCGGGCCAGGCGCUGUGGACCGGCUCCUAAUCCUCUUGUUUUCGGUACUGUCAGCAGAUGUGGCUUCUUUUAGCUGAAUAAUCCGUUAAAAGAAUAAUAAUUUUUAAAAAGGAGAUCGACCUCACCCAAAGAGGACGGCGAACGGGAUUAGGGCUUGUAGAUCUACUGCCUUUCGUUGGGCUGGCUGAAACGCUGCGGACUGAGACCAGUCUCUUCAAAAGGAAGAACAUAAAGAGGAAGACCUUGAGUGGACCCCCGGACAAAGCACUUUGGGCUCGGCGAGAAGGGACGCGCGGGAGCGCUGGCUCGGAAACAGUGAUCUCCGGUGCCCAAGGGCGCCCGCCCGGCGCACGGACCUCUGAGGGGAUCCAGCCGCAUUAGACACGAGUGACCUUUUAAAUCUACGCCCACUCUUUACCUGCGAGAGGACUGCAGCAGGCGAGUUCCGGAAGGCUGACUGCCCAGAUCCCGGCCCCGGCCCGCGGCAGCGGCCCCCGCGGCACGCCCGGCCGGGCUGCGCCUGGACUCCGUGAGCAAGGAAAAAGCCUGGAUCCGAAAGGAUGGGGGAGAACAAAGAGCCUUUGGAAGACGUCGCUGUUAUCUCAUUGUCUGUGUGAUUGGGGAGCUGCGAGACGGCCCAGGCCCAGAUCUCUGUUUAAGCGGAAAGAAAUUGAUCCUUUAACAAAGACAAAGGUAAACUCUCUAUCACUUCUAUCACCAAAGGGCUGGGGAGGAGAGACAGUUUUUGUGGACACAGGAGGAGCCUUAGCCAGAGAAAUAAAUAUUUGGGGGGAGGGUAGUUUCUCAGCGGGCAUAUGCCCAUAUACACACAGAUAUACAGACAUUUGCUCGCAUAACCACAUCCAUUGCUAAUAUUUAUAGGAAAGCAUUUAACCGCAUACACACAAAAAUCCAUCCAUCUAUACUGUCUGCACAGGGAAAUAAUUUUCCCUUUCCCUCUACUGAACUUACAUAAUACCCCCACCCCUUGUUCCAACCUUAGAAUGGAGUCCUCUGGGGGCAGCUGCACAGCAUUCUCCCUAGGACAGAUGGAGCCUCCCCUCCACAUCUACUCUGUGGGUGGUUUUAAAGCCCCAUGAGUCAACACGGGCUGAGGUUUGUGCUGGUGCUGUGUGUGUUUGAGGCUUGCCUGGCUGAUUCACGGUGAUGCGUAUGUCAAUAAUAACAAUUAUGAGAAUUAUGAUACCUAAUAAAGAUUUUUUUUUCUUCCAAG